UACGGAGGGUGCGAGCGUUAAUCGGAAUUACUGGGCGUAAAGGGUGCGUAGGUGGUUAACUAAGUUAUGUGUGAAAUCCCCGGGCUCAACCUGGGAACUGCAUUUGUGACUGCAAGGCUAGAGUACGGUAGAGGGGGAUGGAAUUCCGCGUGUAGCAGUGAAAUGCGUAGAUAUGCGGAGGAACACCGAUGGCGAAGGCAAUCCCCUGGACCUGUACUGACGCUCAUGCACGAAAGCGUGGGGAGCAAACAGG
rnacentral:rRNA from 1 species